AGCGAACGCUGGCGGCAGGCCUAAUACAUGCAAGUCGAGCGCACCUUCGGGUGAGCGGCGGACGGGUGAGUAACGCGUGGGAACGUGCCCUUUGGUACGGGAUAACUGAGGGAAACUUCAGGUAAUACCGUAUGUGCCCUACGGGGGAAAGAGUUAUCGCCAUUGGCGCGGCCCGCGUUGGAUUAGGUAGUUGGUGAGGUAAAGGCUCACCAAGCCUACGAUCCAUAGCUGGUCUGAGAGGAUGAUCAGCCACAAUGGGACUGAGACACGGCCCAGACUCCUACGGGAGGCAGCAGUAGGGUAUCUUGCGCAAUGGGCGAAAGCCUGACGCAGCCAUGCCGCGUGAAUGAUGAAGGUCUUAGGAUUGUAAAAUUCUUUCACCGGGGAAGAUAAUGACGGUACCCGGAGAAGAAGCCCCGGCUAACUUCGUGCCAGCCGCCGCAGUAACAC
rnacentral:rRNA from 1 species